AUUGCAGUCAGGUAAAUGUAACACUUUGAGCUGGACCUAACCUGGCUAAAGUUUAAACUCUGUGAUGGUUGUAUAUUUAGAUGACAGACAAAUUCCUAACAGAUGAGGAGCUGUGUGAGAACUAUGGAGUGGGAUACAGUCUCAUGGUAAAGAUGGGUUGGACAGCUGCUUCACACCCGUUACCACCCGUCUUUACUGAUCUUAAUAGAAGUUCCAACAGUGAAAAAAGAUCUGGUUUUGGUUUUGUCAAGGAGGAGAAUAGAAAGCUUGAUUUUGAGUUUGAAGACAUGAUGGGGAAAAUGGCUAACUUGACAACGAAAAUGCCCAACUCCAAAUCUAAAUCACUUUCAAGCGGGGAAACUAAAGUGAAGCAGAUUAUUUCAGCGAAAUCUAAGCCAGGAGAAAGUUCGAGACCCGAGAAAAUUCCUUCACCUAAUGUUGUGGAACAGACGAUAGAGGAUCAUUCAAAAAGUCCAAAGCGCGGUGAAUUCACAACCCAAUGUUUAUGGAAUGAUGUGACUGAGCAAUCGGGUGCUCCUGAGGUUAAUCGGGGUUCGGUAAAUCCGAAAAUUAUGAUGAAGAUAAAGCAGAAAAAGGUUCUAAGAAACAAUCUCAGUGUAUUUGAAUGAAUAGAAACCGGGAUAAAAUAUUUUGGGCCUUGACACAAGAAUGCUUAGCACGACGAACUGUACUGUGGACAACUUACCCUGCACGAUUCUUCAUUUUUGGAAACGCUUUUAUGUAACGCGCGGCGUCAUUUCGGUGAUAAAAGCAAAUUGCCUCUCGCAAUUUUAGCCGAUUUUUGGAAAUUUUGCGAUUAUCUUGGAGACGCCUGGAUACGGAAUGAAGACAAAAGCUGAUCGUAUUUCAUUGGACGAUUCCCAGUUCAUAACUUUCUUUUGGAAAGCUGUUGAAGACUGAAUGUUUGAUUCUGUCGUGUAUGUGCAGCGUAUACAGUCUCGUUCGCAGUUCCGUUAAAUCAAAAUCCGUACGAAAAGCAGAUAAGUCUUGCAAGAAACAAUAAAUAAAUCGCAGUCUGAACUCUGGUGAAAAUUUGCUGAAAUGAGAAAAAAAGUUACGUACAUCAGGAAUUUUUUUGCAAAAAAUGUUGUUAUUGCUGAUAAAGGAGUUAUAAGAACCUGGGAAAUUUACCUCAUUUCCUUCAUCCUUGUUUCGAUGUCAGUCAUAACAUAGCCAGUAAUAACACUAAUGGUUUGAAAAUGACUAAGAAUCUCGAACUCUCAUGAGGCUGCGGAUUACAAUCGGAAGACAGAAAGCGACAGACAGAUCCAACAGAAAGAAGACUAUGAUGAAGACAUAUAGGAUUUUGUAUUUCGCAUUAAUCUAUUGAAUAUGUCCGUUAUUUUCACAACAAGAACAGUAAUUUUUGAUUUUUUUUGUUCAUAAGGGGUCGUUCACAUAUUACCUAAUCAAUAUUUUAGCAAUUUUUACCCCCCCCCCC